rnacentral:rRNA from 1 species
AUUGAACGCUGGCGGCAGGCCUAACACAUGCAAGUCGAACGAGUGGCGGACGGGUGAGUAAUGUCUGGGAAACUGCCUGAUGGAGGGGGAUAAAUACUGGAAACGGUAGCUAAUACCGCAUACCAUCAGAUGUGCCCAGGUGGGAUUCGCUUGUUGGUGGGGUAACGGCCCACCAAGGGGACGAACCCUAGCUGGUCUGAGAGGAGGACCAGCCAAACUGGAACUAGGACACGGUCCAGACUCCUACGGGAGGCAGCAGUGGGGAAUAUUGCACAAUGGGCGCAAGCCUGAUGCAGCCAUGCCGCGUGUAUGAAGAAGGCCUUCGGGUUGUAAAGUACUUUCAGCGGGGAGGCGUUACCCGCAGAAGAAGCACCGGCUAACUCCGUGCCAGCAGCCGCGGUAAUUC